UACGUAGGGGGCUAGCGUUGUCCGGAAUCAUUGGGCGUAAAGCGCGUGUAGGCGGCCCGGUAAGUCCGCUGUGAAAGUCGGGGGCUCAACCCUCGGAUGCCGGUGGAUACUGUCGGGCUCGAGUACGGAAGAGGCGAGUGGAAUUCCUGGUGUAGCGGUGAAAUGCGCAGAUAUCAGGAGGAACACCAAUUGCGAAGGCAGCUCGCUGGGACGUUACUGACGCUGAGACGCGAAAGCCAGGGGAGCAAACGGG
rnacentral:rRNA from 1 species